AGUCACUUCACCUGUCUCAGUUCCCUCAACUGUAAAAUGGGGAUAAUAAUAGCACUUAGCCCUGAGGGCUUUGGGAGGAUCAAGUGAGAUAAUAUUUGUGCCUGGCACAUGGUAGCCAGUUAACAUAUGUUUAUUUCCUUCUUUCCUUCCUUCCAGAGAGGGAGAGACUCAAACACAUCGAGACAAGAGAAAAAACAGAAUGAAUAAUGAUAGCAGAGAUUCAGGAAUAAACUUGGUGAGGGAUGAGGAAGGAACAUCACACUUUCUACCUUUCCAGAUGUGCCAAAUAAAAACACACCAGGGUGGGCUCUAUCUCCGUGUCUCCACUCUGCAUCAUCUCCACUGUCGCUCAUUUAGUCUCCGUGACCACAGGAGCCUAGUAAUGAGACACCAGGUCAUCCAAGAUGGGCUUACAGACACCUGAGAGUCUGUUCUCACCCUCACGCUUACAACUGCAAUGGAGUCAGUAAGUAGCUCAGAGUGUGCCAUGUCAUGUCCAAAGAGGAAGGACUGAGGCCCAUCUGAAAUCUGAGGAAAGUUAUUCGUGGGAUUGGUUCCAUGGCUCGUUCUAGUUCCUGGAUCAAAGUCUUCUGACUGUUUUGUAGAGAUAGCAGAUGUGUGAAUUAUUAUUGCACAAAUGGCCUUAAUGGGAUAUACUUGCUCCUAACUGCUUCAUGAGUGGAUUGAGGGAUUAAAACCAACUUUACUGGUAAGAUGUCACCUUUCUCCUUGUAAAGCGACACAAAAGGAAACAGCCACCCAGCACGUGGAAGUAGAAAGUCCUGACCUUUUAAUUAUCUGAAGAGAUGAUCAUAAGAUCAAAGUCUUCUCUGAGGCACAUGCAUAUUAGUACUGAUAGAAUCAUUGUGCUUUUCAGUAAAAGAAGUAGGAGUCUGUAUUUACAUAAGAAACUAUAGUGUCUGAGAUCCAUAUAUAUAUAUAUAUAUGCACAUAUAUAUGGAAAUGGUUUUGAAUUACAGCAUUUACAGAAUAAAAAUAAGCUGGA
rnacentral:lncRNA from 1 species